UACGUAGGUGGCAAGCGUUGUCCGGAUUUACUGGGCGUAAAGAGCGCGCAGGCGGUCGCUCAAGUCGCGUGUGAAAGCCCCCGGCUCAACUGGGGAGGGUCACGCGAUACUGAUCGACUGGAAGGCAGGAGAGGGUAGUGGAAUUCCCGGUGUAGUGGUGAAAUGCGUAGAUAGUCGGGAGGAACACCAGUGGCGAAGGCGACUACCUGGCCUGUUCUUGACGCUGAGGCGCGAAAGCUAGGGG
rnacentral:rRNA from 1 species